GAGAGUGAAGGCGGAGGGAGAUAGAGAGAGAUGAUACCGCAGCAAUGGACGCCGCCGUGUGGGAAGUCAAUGCACGCAUAAGUAUGCAGCUCUGACGCAGAUUCCAUCACUCUCUUUCAGGAUUAUAUAUGCCCCCUGUUUUAUACAACUCAGGAAUGCUUUCAUGCAUGUGUCGCAGGCUGUGGUUACAAGUUUGAAGUUGAAUCUGAGGAAGUCAAUAAGGUGAAACCAAAGAGACCACCACCACGAGCUAAAAGACCAAUGCAGCCUCCUUCUGAUGAGGAUGUUCCUACAAGUUCUGCUUGACAUCAAAACGCUUUGUGAACUAACUUCUCAAAACUCUUCAAACAUUUGGUAAUCUCACAUGAGGGAGUAUUAAUGUUCAGAGUAGCUAAUGGAGAGUAUAUUAGUGGGUGGACCUUGUGACCUUUUAGUCCAUAAGGCAUAUUAAUGAAACUAGAUAUUGAUAUUUGGGUUUUUGCUAUCUAAUUCAUCUUCUACAA